CAAUUCCCGGACCACGCCUGGCUGAGGGUC
rnacentral:rRNA from 1 species